CUACCCAGUACUAGGGAAUAACAGUUAGAAAUGACUGCUAAUGCCUUAUACGCCCUUCGGGGAAAGAUUUAUCGGUAUUGGAUGAACCCGCGUUUGAUUAGCUAGUUGGUGAGGUAAUGGCUCACCAAGGCUACGAUCAAUAGCUGGUCUGAGAGGAUGAUCAGCCACACUGGGACUGAGACACGGCCCAGACUCCUACGGGAGGCAGCAGUGGGGAAUAUUGGACAAUGGGCGCAAGUGAUCCAGCCAUUCCGCGUGAGUGAUGACGGCCCUAGGGUUGUAAAGCUCUUUCAACGGUGAAGAUAAUGACGGUAACCGUAGAAGAAGCCCCGGCUAACUUCGUGCCAGCAGCCGCGGUAAUACGAAGGGGGCUAGCGUUGUUCGGAAUUACUGGGCGUAAAGCGCACGUAGGCGGAUUGUUAAGUUAGGGGUGAAAUCCCGGGGCUCAACCCCGAGCUGCCUUUAAUACUGGCAAUCUAGAGAUCUAGAGAGGUGAGUGGAAUUCCGAGUGUAGAGGUGAAAUUCGUAGAUAUUCGGAGGAACACCAGUGGCGAAGCUGCUCACUGGCUAGAUACUGACGCUGAGGUGC
rnacentral:rRNA from 1 species